UUCCAUCACAGAACGUACGUCACUAGAAACAAUAAGUCACUAGAAACAACAUUCUGUUUCAAUGGAUUGUCUCUUGGGUUGGAUGACGAGAAAGAACUUACCAUUAGAAGGAUUAUAUAAGAUAAUUUCAUCUUGUAUCAGACGCAAUGAUUCUUAAUGAUUUCGUGUGAUUCAUUGAUUCCUUGUAACUCGUUGAUCCCUUGUGAUUCAUUGAUUCAACUUACCUUUUUUUGCCAUUUGGCGAUAUUAAAUGAUACUGCAUCUUUACGCCUGCCCCUUUAUUAUAUGCAUUCUGUUUAAAGCUCAAACAAAGACGCAAUGUAUUUAUGAAUGCAAAACCAACAGCUACAAGUAUGCGUUCGUCGAUCAGAAUCACUUUGGCUGUUAUUGCGGGAAUAUCGAGCCAUCCCGGAAGGGUUUCGACAUGGUGCACCCGAGGUUUUGUUCUAGUCCACCGCUCUACAGGCAUUGCACUGUUGGAAUUUGCCUCAGAGGGGGAUUUGGCAAGCUGUAUUUAACUGUGCCUGAUGCCUUCAACACAACGACCCCAGCCAAAAAAGUUUCUUCUGGAAACCUUUCAGCGGAACUUAUCGGCUCUUCCUUUGGCAUAAUGGCCUUUCUGGUCCUUACGUUUAUUUUCAUAAGAUACAGGAUAAAGAAGAGACAGAGAGCUGAACGUUCUAAUCGUGGAGCAAAUCAAUAUUUGCCAGUCCAAACUCCUGAUGUUUGUUACGCGCCUGACUCUGCUCUUGGAGAUGCAUCACCUUCAUAUUCAGAUGCCACAAAAGAAGGGGUCGUUUUCAUGGACUCAAGGAACGCUGUUGGUGCGUUUUAAUUGACAAAUGACCCUCCACUUUCAUUUGAAGAAGCAAUUAAUGGUGCUGCCAAUGCUGGAGCUCUUCCACCGAAAUAUGACACUAUUCAAUUCAGGGACGAAAACAAGUUGCUAAUUUUGGGGGGGCGUGGAAGUAUGAAAAUUCCAACUUCAAGUGAUAAAUUUUUCAUUCGACCAGUAGAUCUGUUGUACCUACCAAAUUGAUAUUUGUAAAUAGCCCGAGGACCAUAGUUCUAUUUUCUUUAUAAUUACCAAAUCUUUACUCAAUAAUUAGCCUAAAGCAUAAAAGCCUAAAUCUCUAAAUUUUGAUUAACAUGAAACAAACAUUAAACAUACUGUAAGAAGUAAAGCAACAUUUAAGCAAAACCAGUAUUAGAUAUACUUAAUGAUUAGUAGUAUUCUUUCAGAUCAAUUGAUCAAUUUUAUCUAAAAUACAUUUUUCACGAUAUAGAAGCACCAAGAAUUUGGGCCUUUUAUUUUCGUUCUUGAUCGAAGAAAACUACCUUUAAACUUUUCAGAGGGCCAAAUGCCUUUUCAUUCUUUACAAUUGAAAUGAUGAUUUGAGAACAAACUUGUGCAUAUGCCUGAUUCGAAAGAUGAAAUACUCUUCUUUGAUCAAAUACUUCUACUGCAGUUUUUGCAAUGUGUUCUUGCUCCACAGCAGUUUUGUCAUAGGAAUUUAUGAUAAGGACUCAAGGACAUUAACAAAUAACAGGGGGAGUUUAGCAUAAACUCGUUUUUUAUAAGAAGCGUUGAGAAUUUUUAGUACUGAAAGAUUAUUAAUCUUUUAUUGAAUUAACUACUCGUAGUUUCUUAAAAAACUCCCACUCUAAUGCUUUCUGAUCAAUACGGGAAUUAUUAUUCCAAACUAUAAAGUUUCAAGUUUCUUAUCCGGAAAUUCACCUUGCCUGUUCGUAAUUUGAUUCAACUCCCGUCAGAAAGAAAGCAAACGGGGCAAUUGUGCAACUUGGAUCCAGUGGAGACGGGAUUCACAAUAGAAAACGAUUGGAUGGGUCAGCUUCAGCCUGUGAAUUUUAAUGUUUAGAAUUUUUAUAUUUAAAAUAAAAAAACUUCUUAAAAUAUAAAAUUCACAAGUUUGGUCUUAAGAAAAAAAUUCCAAGUCAACCGUUACAUUUUCCAACUGUAACUGGAUUUUCCAAACUUUGGGGGGCGUUACGCCCCCCACGCCCCCCUAUUAUUUACGUGCCUGUCAGUAUUCUUCCCCUUUGUCAGUGGAAACGCCAUCAGGGGCUGAAGCUCAUCGAAACCAAACCCCGUUAUUAACGAGUCUUAGUCAGCUCUCGAGUCCCAGAGUGGUAUUACCGGCUGUCGACGAUGGCGAUUCAAGACCAGGCUCCGCAGCCCUGAUAAGAUCUCGACCAGCAUCCGCAGCCUCGGUUGACUCUGUCUCCGAUUCAUUGCACCCUUUGGUAUGACCCACAACGAGGCACCAAAGAAACCCCAAUAGAAUGCUCCCGCCACUGCAAGUUCGAGUCAGAGCUACAGACAAUCGAAAUCCUGGCAGUGACGUAUGAAACCUUGUAUAGCUAACAUGCAAACAUUGUAAAUACAACGUAUAUCUGUAGAUCCGCACAUGUCAAAUUAGAGGAACAAGGAAAUCAGAGCACCAUUACCGCCGGACCAAUCAAGAACUUUCCUGGGGUCUGGGACCCUUGAUAAAGUCAUUGUUGUUUUGUCAGAAGCUUUGUUACAUCUUGGUCGGGCCCCUCUGAGCUAAGGGCACGGGGAAAUCUGCCUUCCCUACCUCGCCUGCUUUCCUUGUGCCCCUGCCAAUUAUUGAGAGAACAUGUGAUUUGUGUUGGGGCAAUGAGCUUUGCGGCAUAUACAUUUACCAAAAAUAUGUCGCUUUCCUUCCACUUGGAGAAGGUGAUUUUUUUAAAUCUGGCUUCAAUUUUAAUUUGUGAUUUUAUGCAUUUAGUAUCGUGAUUAUAUGCAUAAAGUAUAAAGUAUUUGAUAUCAGCUCUCGGAGUGGUCUGUAGCAUGUAUAAAUCAUCGUCGUAUCCAAUACGUAUUGAUUGUGAUUUUCAGAUUUACUAAUCAGUCUGUAGAUUAUUAGGAUCUUCCGUAAUAUCAAAAGUCCGCAUCGUGCUUUUGUA